GGGGCAGCAGGUGGGAAAGCACAGGUGUGGAUGAAGGAGGUGGCGCAGCACAGGUGUGGAUGAAGGAGGUGGCGCAGAUCAGGUGUGGAUGAAGGAGGUGGCGCAGCACAGGUGUGGAUGAAGGAGGUGGGACAGCACAGGUGUGGGAAGCAAGUAUGAAAACAGAA